rnacentral:lncRNA from 1 species
GGGAACGGUGCGGGGAACUGGGAACAGCGGGGGGAACCGGGAGCACCGGGAAAAACUGGGAACGCUGGGGGAAAACUGGGAUGCAGAGAAAAACUGGGAUUCCUACAAAACCGGGAACACCGAGAAAAACUGGGAAUGCUGGGGGGAACCGGGAUGCACAGAAAAACUGGGAUUCCUGGGGAUGCCGGAGAAAUCCGGGAGUUCAAGGGAAAUCUGGGAAUUCAGAGAAAACCAGGGAUGGCGGGGAAAACUGGGGAUGGCAGAGAAAUCUGGGAGUUCUGGAAAAAGCUGGGAGUUCCGGAGAAAUGGGGAAUUACGGAGAAAUCUGGAAAUUCAGAGAAAUCCAGGAAUGGCAGAGAGAACCAGGAAUGGCGGGGAAAACUGGGAAUGGCAGAGAAAUCUGGGAGUGGCAGAGAAAUCUGGGAGUUCCGGAGAAAUCUGGGAAUUCUGGAGAAAUCCGGGAAUUCAGAGAAAUCUGGGAAUGGCAGAGAAAUCAGCAUGGUGUGGGCAGGAAUCGCUCGGGGCCCUCACGGGGGGCCCGGGGGAUCCAAAGGGGCAGGAGAGAAUCCCUCAGGACCAUGAAGAUCCAACAGGAACCCCUCAGGAUCAUGAAGAUCCCACAGGAAUCCCUCAGGACCAUGAAGAUCCCACAGGAAUCCCAAGGAACUGUCAGGAACCCCUCAGGACCCCGCGCCUGCCACGGGGACACCACAAAGCCCUGGAGGCCUCUCCCAGAGCAGGAACAAAAUGGAAAAUUGGGAUUUCCAGAGAGGACAAUGAGCUG